CGCGCUGCUGUCUCGUAGAGCGACACACGGCACUGCACUCCAUCCGCAGCAGCCCAAAGUCCAAGCUACAGUCUACUUUCCCGACAUCCUUUGCUUGUGUCCUUCGUAAACGUCCUCGUGGCCCUCUCGCCGCCGCGCAUGUAGGUGUUUUGCACCGCAGCUGCUUUCGUUUGCUCCCCGUACGUGUGAAGCAUCCAUCUUGUCCCUCUCGCUCUUUUUCUGUCGUCGCUGCUCACACACCCCACCACGCGCACACUUUCGCUGGUGCACCGCUGCCCGGGGCGGGAGUGCACGCGAACAUAUUUUACAGUGACACUCAGAGGAUCUGCUUUUGCGCGACUUGCGCAUGAGCGGCAAGACACGGGCCGCAGACGCCUUCGGCUCCCUUCUGCGGCACGUCUCUGUCAUUGUUGUCGCUCUUUCCUGUUCGCCUUUGAUGCUUAUCUUUUUUUCCGUUCUUUUCUAUUCGCAUUUUCAGAGAACACCACAUCUGCCGCUCGUUGCCGGCUGGCCAUCGUAUCCGAAGGAAAGACAAGCGAAAAGGCCCUCUCUUUUUUCCUUCUUUUGGUGACCUUGAAACGCCUCUUCGGCUUCAUCUAUGAGGCGUCUUCGGAUGGGUAGGCGGACAGUCGCGACACCAACUGUCAUGACAUCGGUUCCUCCCGCGUCGUAUUCGAGCGGUGCGUAUACGACGUUGACAUCUCGACUGCGCUCCGCUGCCACCGCCGCUGCUGCAAACGCUGCGGUGGCGACAAGGAGGGGGGCACUUGGAGCAGACUCGCCGCCGCUUCGCGGCUGCGUUGGCACAGGAGGGUCGUCGCCAGCGCUGUUUCGCCCCACGCGCGUCGCCCGGAUUCCUCCGCAGCUGGCGCGGUUCUUGAUCGCCGGUAGUGCUGCGCUGCUGCAAGUGUUUAUGGUUGCAUACCAGCGGGAAAGUCAAAAACUUCGUCAGGAAGAGCAGGCGCGUGGCGCGGUGGGAUCAGCGCAGGAUUCCACAGGGAUUAGGAACCCUCGUGCGAUGUCCGCGAUGGAGGCGAUGCAAGUGCUUGGCCUUGAUCGCAGAUUCCCUGAUGUGUACACGAGUGUGCAGCAGGCGGAGGCCAGGUCGACGUCGACAUCAGCGUUGCUCCCGCUGGCGCCUGGGGAGGCACGUAGGGCGGCGCAGCUAAACUUCGAGCGCAUGUUCGGCCUUGCCGCCAAAGAGGGGAACGCGUUCUUGGCAGGCAAGCUGAGCGCCGCCUACCGCAUUUGUGUGGACCCAAGCUGGGAUCAGGCGAUGUCGGGUGAAGACGAAACGGCGGAUGCCAACACACGAUCGACGACGGCGGUAAACGCUGGUGAGCAGGGGCGCUCCUUGUAGGAGGGCAGGGUGGGUCGUGGCCUACUUUUUCUAGGCAAAGGCGCACGCACGUGGCGCCGCCCCUCUAGUUGCCACUUUUUCGUGUCGUGCCGAUGUCCAAGUAUGCAUUUGUGCGCGGUCUUCUUAGUGCUCUGCGUGAUUGAAACUCGGUCUACUCCACCGUGUGUCUCACGUGUCUUUGCUACUGAUCUUUUCUGUAACAAGCUUUUUCACCCCUUCUGCGUCUCCUCAUGGCCGCCACAUCUCGGCGCCUGAUUCACCGUCGCACCGCUUCUCGUCGCUGUUCCUCCGCACGAGCUGAGGCACAUUCUUGGUUG
rnacentral:misc_RNA from 1 species